rnacentral:lncRNA from 1 species
UUUCUUCAUUAUUAUUUGGAUCAUACGUUGAUGUAGAAGAACGUAGAACCUUGUUAACAUAAGCUGGAGUCGAUAUCAAAGUUGUCAAAGCCUCUAUAUUCAAUCCCAAAGUAUUUUGAUUCAACAUUGUCUUACGAAGAAGUUGGAAUUUUCCUUUUAUUGCUUCCAUUUCUUGACACUAUUUCUCCUUUAUCACUUGAUCAUUAAACUGUUUUACCUCCUCAGCAUAUUCUCUUUUAGGUUUUGUAAUUUCUUCAUUUAUUCUCAAGAGAGUCGGUAUUGAAGUUCUUUUGUGGUAACAAAAUCUCCCAAGUUUUUCUUUGCCACAUACACUCUAAAAGGUUUCUAAAAAAGGCUACCCAUUUUUUCAAUCAAGUCUUGAAGCUUUAUCUAGCAUACAUAAAAUAAUAGUAGUAAAUGAGUAAUGAUAUACAUAAAAUAAUAGUAAAUGAAUAUUAUGGUAUACUAGUUAACUUACAAUUGCAAGAUUGGUUUGUUGAUUUAACUUGUAACACCCCGAUUUUUAACACCGAGAGUGUAAAUUUUUUCAAAAAAAAAAAACUGAACAUUUUUAGAUAAAAUAUUCAUAAUUGUACUGUAAUUUAAAUCAAAGUAAAAUAUUUAAUUGUAAAAUUAUUUUCUAAAAAUGAUGAUUAUAAUCAUUGUUUCAUUAUAUAAAAUGGUUUCGACACAACAAACUUACUUACAACUGAACAAUUCCCAUUGACUAAAAAAAUUACAAUUGUUUUCAAAUACAUAAAUUCUAUUGCGACAACAACAUUGCAAUAAGGAAGGGAGAAUACACAACAUCCUUAAAUAAAAUCCUAAGCCGAUCAUUAAUCUAAUUCAGGAUGACUAGUCAUUGAGGAUCCACAAGUGGCAUCAAGCCUCACUGCUUUCGAUUAACAAUCCAAAAUCAUUGCUCUGUCACGUCUUCGACGUCGUUGCAAUUUCAGCACAACUCAAAAGUUUAAGAACCUCGGGUGUAAGUCCAGCCCACAAUAAUAGUAGAGGGACACUAUCUAAAAACAACAUACAUACGAAAAUACAAACCACGAAACCAUAACAUGAAAUGACAUCAAGUGAUAAACAAACAUGCAUAUAAAUAUCGUCAUACAACUAACAUGCCUCAUGUGACAAAACACCCUAAUGCAAUGCUUAUAUGCCACUACACAUGAUUUUGAAAUUUCCACACCCUCCUCGAGAGGCGUAAAUCAUAAAUGUAACGUCUCUCACAAACCAGUACUAAUUACUGAGGUGCCACCUAUCACAGAUCAACACGAUUUACUAGAGUGCAGUCUAUCACAGACCUACACGAGGCAAAAAAUCCCCGUAAGGAUAAGAUGAACCAACAAAUCACAUGACAUCAUCUCGUGGCCCAUCACGGUCACCAGUAUCACCAUGGCACCAUCGCGUCCAAAAUCCUCAGAAGGAUAAGGUGGACCAAUCAACUCAAGGAACCACCACUUGACCCAUCAUGGUCACCACUAACAUUGUGACCCAUCACAGUCACCACUAACACUGUAGCUCAUCACGGUCACCACUAACUAUGAAAUACAUGAGCAUACUUUGACUCUUUCACAUCAAUCAUUAUGUAAAUGCAACAAUUAAAAGACUCCCCUUUUAAUACUUAUUAAACACUUAUAAUUUUUAAUACUUUUUCACAAAGCAUACUUAAGACAUAUUCUCUUCAAUAAAAUUCAUAACACAUAUGUUAUAAGUUAUGAAUACAUAAUCACACAAAAUACAUAAACAAUCGUGUGCACCUUUAUUCACCACAACCACAAAGAACAUGUAUACAAACACACUCUGCAUUUAAGCAUAUAUAAUAUUGUUAGAAAUUGCUCUUACCUCGACAGUGCUUUAUUAUACAAGCAACUUACGCUACACCAACAUAACAUAUCCGACAAUUCCAACGACACCUCUCAAUUUCUUUGUACCUUAAACCAAUUAAAAAAAUUACAUCACUUUGAUCUCCAAACACCUAACAUCUAGUUGCCAUUUUAAUUAAAAAAUCAUAACCAAACACAAGUGCAAAAGUCUUAACUUUAUUAACUUAAACUCUAAUAAAAUGUCUAUUGUCAGUUCAAACUCAUUUAUUUGAAAACAACUCAUUAUAUAACUCAAACACCUCCAAAGAUAAAAAAAAAAUUCACAUUACAACACACAUAGAUUUUAACCUCGUCAAAUAAAUUUGCGGUUUUGAUUUCUUUUCUUGCUCAUUAAACACUUUACCUCAUCAAUUUCAUAUUAGUUAAAACUUUUAAGUAAAAUCAACAAAAUAUCCCUCCUCUAUGUCUUAGAGUUCACGGUUUCAAGAGAUAAGGUUUUUCUUUUCUUUCUAAAUGAUAAAAAUAACAACAAAAGAGUAAGAUUAAAGCACUAACACAAAAAUAAUAAUAAUAAUAAUAAUAAUAAUAAUAAUAAUAAUAAUAAUAAUAAUAAUAAUAAUAAUAAUAAUAAAUAAACACACUCAAAAAGCCUAUGGAAAAAAUAGAAAAAUUAGAGGAAAAUGUAAAACUCACCACUUCAAACAUAUUAUUAGAUUCUUCUAAUACUCCUCAAUUUUUUACUAGAGAGUUUCAUCAAGAUUUCACUAGCUCCGUAUUUUUCGAUCUUCCUCACAAAGUUUCCAAGUAUAAACACAAGUUUUCUUUUUGUCAUUUCACAAGAAUGGAUAAAAAAAAUGUGAAGAGAAAGACAGAGGAGGAAAGCAGAUUGAGG